AUUGAACGCUGGCAGCAGGCCUAACACAUGCAAGUCGAACGAGUGGCGGACGGGUGAGUAAUGUCUGGGAAACUGGGUGAUGGAGGGGGAUAACGACUGGAAACGGUAGCUAAUACCGCAUACCAUCCGGUGUGCCCAGAUGGGAUUAGCUAGUAGUUGGGGUAACGGCUCACCUAGGCGAAGAUCCCUAGCUGGUCGGAGAGGAUGAACAGCAACACUGGGACUGAGACACGGUACAGACGCCUACGGGAGGCAGGCGUGGGGAAUAUUGCACAAGGGGCGAUAGCCUGAGGCAGCCAUGACGCGUGUAUGAAGAAGGCCUUCGGGUUGUAAAGUACGUUCAGCGGGGAGGCGUUACCCGCAGAAGAAGCACCGGCUAACUCCGUGCCAGCAGCCGCGGUAAUAC
rnacentral:rRNA from 1 species